rnacentral:lncRNA from 1 species
GUGCAGGCAGCAGCUCACAGGAAGAACUGCUCCCAUUGCUGGAAAUGCCCCAAUUUCCUGGGCCUGUGGCUGCUCCUUUGGGUGGGACCUGCCCUGUCAAAGCUUCCUGUAUGACUCGUGCUUUGGUCACAGGCUCUGGUUUCCCCAUUUCCCAGUUUAGAAAUGGUGUCCAGGCAAGGGCUCAGACUCUCUGUGUCCUCCAUGCUGGUGACAGAAGGAAGACGCUGAGGUGUUCCAGUGACCAGUGAGGACCAUGCUCCUUUGGGGAUUGGUGUUUCUUUGGCUUGUGGCCAGAGAGAGGAUCACAAGCUUGAAUGAGGCAGGCUGUUCCACAAAAAAACUCCUUUGGACAUAUUCCCCAGGAAAGGAAGAGGAAUUUGUCUUAUUUUGUGAUUUCCCAGAGCCAUGGAGAAACCAUUUCUCCCACAAAAGUCCACACAGUCCAACACCGAGCCCUGGAUCCCUGCCCUGCAGUGGUAGUGAGGACCUCACUGAUGUCCAGUGGUACCGACAGCGUGGGGACCAGGGUCCAGUGGAGGAGAUUGCUGGUGGCCACCUUCACAUGGCUCAGAAUAAGAACACACUUCGCUUCAGUGCCCCAGAGAUGACAGAGGCUGGCACAUACAUCUGUAAACCCAGGAUCAGGUCUGUCCCAGAUGCAUGCCUAUCUGCAAGCAAUCCCCAGUGCUCUAUGAUCUUGGGAAAUACCUAUGUUCACAGGACCCUUUACUCUUCUAGGAGUGCCCAGGAUGGGGCU